AAAAGCGUCCCCAAUGAACGGGUGUGUCAGCUGAUAUAAGUCCCCAAUUUUGACACAAGUAAACACACAGACGCACACACAGAUAAGCAAACACUGAAAACGCCCCCCAAAAAACAGGAGGUUGGAAAGAAAACGACUGAAGCGCCGUGAAGACGUUUCACCUCUCACCCAAGAGACUUCUUCAGUGCGGCGUUAUCAUGAAGCCCUUCGAGCCUGCAUAAAACCAGGCUCAAAGAAAUGACGCUUUAACAGGUCAUGGCGAGGGGUCAGAGGUCACUUGAAGCAACAGGAUGUCAGCGUGUGAUCUCCGUGCAAACAGGUUCAAAUUGGCUCCCCGAACACGGCGGUGCUUUGAUUUUCCUUUUUUGGGCAGGGGGGUUAAAAAUGUAUGAAAAUGACCUCGUUUGUGGUUAUUCGGUCAGUGAGUUUUGCAGAAAAUAGGUGACACGGUAGUAAAUAUACAAAACCUUUCUCCUUUUUAU
ensembl:lncRNA